GUGAAAUACUGCAGCUUAACUGUAGCAAUGCCAUUGAUACUGUGUUUCUUGAGUUCAGAAGAAGUAGGCGGAAUAUGUAAUGUAGCGGUGAAAUGCUUAGAUAUUACAUAGAACACCGAUUGCGAAGGCAGCUUACUAUACUGUAACUGACGCUCAGGGACGAAAGCGUGGGGAGCGAACAGGAUUAGAUACCCUGGUAGUCCCACGCCCGUAAACGAUGAUUACUAGUUGUUGGCGAUAAAUAGUCAGUGACUGAGCGAAAGCGUUAAGUAAUCCACCUGGGGAGUACGACCGCAAGGUUGAAACUCAAAGGAAUUGACGGGGGCCCGCACAAGCGGAGGAACAUGUGGUUUAAUUCGAUGAUACGCGAGGAACCUUACCCGGGCUUAAAUGAGAAACGACAGGUUUGGAAACAGACCCUUCUUCGGACGUUUUUCAAGGUGCUGCAUGGUUGUCGGCAGCUCGUGCCGUGAGGUGUCGGGUUAAGUCCCAUAACGAGCGCAACCCCUAUCGUUAGUUGCCAACAGGUCAAGCUGGGGACUCUGACGAGACUGCCAUCGUAAGAUGCGAGGAAGGUGGGGAUGACGUCAAAUCAGCACGGCCCUUAUGUCCGGGGCUACACACGUGUUACAAUGGUAAUUACAGAGGGCAGCCACCUGGUAACAGGGAGCUAAUCCUAAAAAAUUAUCUCAGUUCGGAUCGUAGUCUGCAACUCGACUACGUGAAGUUGGAUUCGCUAGUAAUCGCGCAUCAGCCAUGGCGCGGUGAAUACGUUCCCGGGCCUUGUACACACCGCCCGUCAAGCCAUGGAAGCUGGGGGUGCCUAAAGUCCGUAACCGAGAGGGACGGCCUAGGGCAAAACUAGUAACUAGGGCUAAGUGGUAACAAGCUAACCAAGGGCGAA
rnacentral:rRNA from 1 species